UACGAAGGGGGCUAGCGUUGCUCGGAAUUACUGGGCGUAAAGGGCUCGUAGGCGGCCAACUAAGUCGGAUGUGAAAUCCCCAGGCUUAACCUGGGAACUGCAUCCGAUACUGGAUGGCUUGAAUUCGGGAGAGGGAUGCAGAAUUCCAGGUGUAGCGGUGAAAUGCGUAGAUAUCUGGAGGAAUACCGGUGGCGAAGGCGGCAUCCUGGACCGAGAUUGACGCUGAUGAGCGAAAGCCAGGGGAGCGAAUGGG
rnacentral:rRNA from 1 species